GAGUUUGAUCAUGGCUCAGAGUGAACGCUGGCGGCAGGCCUAAUACAUGCAAGUCGAACGGCAGCACAGGGGAGCUUGCUCCCUGGGUGGCGAGUGGCGGACGGGUGAGGAAUACGUGGGAAUCUGCCCAGUCGUGGGGGAUAACGUAGGGAAACUUACGCUAAUACCGCAUGCGCCCUUCGGGGGAAAGCCGGGGACCUUCGGGCCUGGCGCGAUUGGAUGAGCCCACGUCGGAUUAGCUUGUUGGCGGGGUAACGGCCCACCAAGGCGACGAUCCGUAGCUGGUCUGAGAGGAUGAUCAGCCACACUGGAACUGAGACACGGUCCAGACUCCUACGGGAGGCAGCAGUAGGGAAUACUGGACAAUGGGCGCAAGCCUGAUCCAGCCAUGCCGCGUGAGUGAAGAAGGCCCUCGGGUUGUAAAGCUCUUUUGUCCGGAAAGAAAAGCAUUCGGUUAAUACCCGGGUGUUCUGACGGUACCGGAAGAAUAAGCACCGGCUAACUUCGUGCCAGCAGCCGCCGCAGUAA
rnacentral:rRNA from 2 species